rnacentral:rRNA from 1 species
AUGGAGCUGCUCAGCGCCCGCCGGGUAAAAACGUUUCGGCACGUCCGGGGGGAGGAGGUGAGGCGCCUCGUCGCCGCCACCACAGCGGGUGCUGGCGAGCCCGUCAACGUCAGCAAACGGCUCGCCGUGCUCAUUGCGGACAUGACCGUGCGCGCCUUGAUCGGGGACAGGUUCAGCAGGCGGGAAGAGUUCCUGAUGGUGCUCCAGCAGGGGGUCAGGAUCCUCUCUGGGUUUAACCUCGGCGACCUCUUCCCCUCAUUCCAGCUCGUCGGCUUCGUCAGCGGCUCCGCCCCACGGGCAUGGGAGAAUCACACCAAGAGCUUCGAGCUCAUUGAGUGCGCCAUCAAGCAACACCAGGAGGUGAAGGCCGCCGCCACAGCGUCCAACGGCAACGGCAAGGAGGAGGAGCAGGAGGACCUAUCGAACGUGCUCCUGAGGAUACAGAAGGAAGGUGGCCACGACGUGCCUUUUACCAUGGGAGACAUCAAAAGUCUAUUAGUGGACUUGUUUACUACUGGGAGCGAGACGUCGGCAACGACGCUCAUCUAG